CCUACGGGAGGCAGCAGUGGGGAAUAUUGGGCUAUGGGCGCAAGCCUGACCCAGCAACGCCGCGUGAAGGAAGAAGGCUUUCGGGUUGUAAACUUCUUUUCUCAGGGACGAAGAAAGUGACGGUACCUGAGGAAUAAGCCACGGCUAACUACGUGCCAGCAGCCGCGGUAAUACGUAGGUGGCAAGCGUUAUCCGGAUUUACUGGGUGUAAAGGGCGUGUAGGCGGGAAAGAAAGUCAGAUGUGAAAACCAUGGGCUCAACCUGUGGCCUGCAUUUGAAACUGUUUUUCUUGAGUACUGGAGAGGGAGACGGAAUUCCUCGUGUAGCGGUGAAAUGCGUAGAGAUGAGGAGGAACACCAGUGGCGAAGGCGGUCUGCUGGACAGCAACUGACGCUGAGGCGCGAAAGCGUGGGGAGCAAACAGGAUUAGAUACCCGGGUAGUC
rnacentral:rRNA from 1 species